GCCAGACUCCUACGGGAGGCAGCAGUGGGGGAUAUUGCACAAUGGGGGGAACCCUGAUGCAGCAACGCCGCGUGAGUGAAGAAGUCAUUCGUGAUGUAAAGCUCUAUCAGCAGGGAAGAAAAUGACGGUACCUGAGUAAGAAGCCCCGGCUAACUACGUGCCAGCAGCCGCGGUAAUACGUAGGGGGCAAGCGUUAUCCGGAUUUACUGGGUGUAAAGGGAGCGUAGACGGCCAGACAAGUCUGAAGUGAAAAUCCAGCGCUUAACGCUGGAAGUGCUUUGGAAACUGCCGGGCUGGAGUGCAGGAGGGGCAGGCGGAAUUCCUAGUGUAGCGGUGAAAUGCGUAGAUAUUAGGAGGAACACCAGUGGCGAAGGCGGCCUGCUGGACUGCAACUGACGUUGAGGCUCGAAGGCGUGGGGAGCAAACAGGAUUAGAUACCCCAGUA
rnacentral:rRNA from 1 species